CCAACGGCCCUCUUUAGGGCCACAAAACUAUUCCAAACCAAGUUUG
rfam:Strigamia maritima strain Brora ctg7180001203196, whole genome shotgun sequence.